rnacentral:lncRNA from 1 species
UUAACUAACAACCCAUUUAUGAUAUUAUGGUGUGGAGCAAAAGUUCUAUAUAAUCCUCAAAAUCUUUGUUCACUUGCCAUAGAAAUUCAUAAUGGAUCAUCACUUGGUCUCAUUCUUAGCUCUUUUUCUCAGUUCACUCAGUUUCAUCCUUUUUGUUUCACAGUUUCUAAAAGUGAGAAACAGAUCCAAAAACUCAGUGAAAACAUUGAAGCUUCCCCCAGGGCCAUGGAAGCUACCUGUCAUUGGAAGCUUACACCACUUAGUUGGCUCACUACCACAUCAUCGGUUGAGAGAACUUGCUAAAAAACAUGGUCCUCUCAUGCACCUACAACUUGGUGAGUCAUCAACCGUUGUGGUUUCUUCUCCAGAAGUGGCUAAAGAUGUCCUGAAAACCUAUGAUGCCAUCUUUUCUCAAAGGCCCCAUCAAAUUGCCGCAGACAUCAUGUGUUAUGGUUCCACUGACAUUGCCACUGCACCAUAUGGGGGGUAUUGGAAGCAGCUAAGAAGAAUAUGCUCACAAGAGCUUCUAAGCAACGCACGUGUGAGGUCCUUUCGAUCAAUAAGAGAAGCAGAAGUAAUGAAUUUAGUAAGAUAUAUUCAGACCAACACUGGUUCUUGUGUGAACCUUAGUGAGAAAAUAACAUACAUGACAAGUGUCAUCAUUGCAAGGACGGCUUUUGGUGAAAAAUGUAAGGAUCAACAAGAGUUCAUUUCCCUUAUCAAGAAACUUCUAAAAUUGCUCGAACGUUUAGCUAUUUUAGAUUUGUUCCCUUCUCACAAUUGGCUUCAUGUGAUUAGUGGGGAGAAACCUAGAUUGGAGAAGUUUCACAAAAAAUAUGAUGUAAUAAUGGGAAACAUCAUUACAGAGACAGAAAAUAUUAUUGGUGAAGAAGAGGUCAAUAGUCUCCUUUCAGUUCUUCUAAAUUUGAAAAAGCAAGGUGGCCUCGAAUAUCCUUUGACAAUCGAUAACAUCAAGGCUGUAAUGUUGGUGAGUGUGUGAAUUACUUUUAGUAAUUAUUUGCUUAUGUUACUGCAUGCAUAUUAAUGGAUUUAAGACCAACCUUCAUUUCAUGUCAAUAUAAAAUUAAAUAACAAAGGCACAAAAAAUUCUAUCUAGUGUUAUAAUAUUGUGAAUAGAACUAUACACACACACGCUCGUAUAACUCUAUAAAUAUUAAUUCUUAGGAGUUGCAUUUUUAUGGGAAAAUUUUGCAAUAUAUGCAUGCGAGUAUAAAUUCCAAAGCUAAAUAAAUUUAAAUUGGUUUUGGUGUUGUAGGACAUGUUUGCGGCUGGAACUGAUACAUCAUCUGUAGUUAUAGAAUGGGCCAUGUCAGAGAUGUUGGAAAACCCAAAAGUAAUGAACACAGCUCAGGAAGAAGUUAGAAGAGUUUUUGGUAGUAAAGGAUACAUGAAUGAAGAAUCAUUUGAAGAACUCAAAUAUCUGAAAGCAGUGAUCAAAGAAACCCUAAGAUUGCACCCUCCCGGCCCUCUUCUUCUUCCAAGGGAAUGUAGAGAAACUUGUGAGGUAAAAGGGUAUACAAUACCUGCUGGAACCAGAGUGAUAGUAAAUGCAUGGGCAAUUGGAAGAGACCCUGAUUAUUGGAAUGAUCCAGAGAAGUUUUAUCCUGAGAGAUUCAUGAACAGUCCGAUCGAUUAUAAAGGGUCCCAUCAUGAAUUGAUACCCUUUGGUGCUGGAAGGAGAAUGUGUGCUGGCAUGUCUUUUGGGAUAAAUAUGAUUGAACUUUGUCUUGCACAACUACUUUACUAUUUUAAUUGGGAACUUCCAAAUGGAAACAGGAAAAACUUGGAAAUGACUGAAGCUUUGGAAGGAGCCUUCUCAAGAAGACAAACGGAUUUAGUCUUAGUUCCCAUUUCUUACAAUCCUCUUCCUAUUUCAUCAAACCUUCAUUGAAGUGUUUAUCACGUUUCACCAUUAUCCUUGUUCUUUCUUUUCUGUUACUUAUUGAGAAUCUUAUGAUUCUGACAGUAAUUUUGUUUCGUGUUCUGUUUCUGUUUUUCUUGUUUCCCUUUGUAACUCUAUUAAUAGAGUCUUCCCUUCCCCUUUCAGUUUUUAAGAAACAAUAUGAUUUUUCAUCAUUGAUAGAAAAUAAGAAAAGGUGAAGUUUUUCUUACCUCUNUCGUCGCCCUCAUCAUUUUUCUCUUCUAUGUCUUCUCCAUCGUCGUCGUGUUUGACGGUGAUCGGCAACCUUGGACGCGCUCCUCUCACCAUCGUCAGACGAAGCUCCGCAAUCCUUUCUCUUUCUUACUUUCUUUCGUUUUUCGAAUUCUGCCACGCACACAGACGCUGACUGCUUCCUUAUCUUUUCUUCGGGCCAAAUAUGGUUUGGGCCAAAACAAUUAGUGCACAGUGCAAGGCCCGUUUCAAUAUAGUAUCAGAGCAGGUCUAGUACCUACUCUGCUUUCGUUGCCUCUGCUGCUGUUCUUGGGACUUUCUUCGGCCGGUUUCUUGCUUUCUUUCUUCCUCCAUAGAUCAGAUGGAUCAAUCGUCCAACCCAAACAGUCCUUUCUAUCUGCACCCAGGGGAGAAUCCUGGGCUUACUUUAAUCACUCAGAUCUUGAACGAGAAUAACUACUCUUCCUGGAGCAGAAGCAUGAGAAGAGCUCUGCUCUCCAAGAACAAGGUUAAGUUCAUUAAUGGGACCAUAAAAAGACCCCAUAAAACUGAUAUUGCGUAUGAUGUUUGGGAAAGGUGUAACAUGAUGAUUCUAUCCUAGAUAACAAAGACUUUUUCACCACACAUUGCUGAAAGCGUGAUAUACAUUGAAGAAGCCAAAGACCUAUGGGAUGAGCUCAAAGAAAGAUUCUCUAAAGGAGAUUAUUUUAAGAUUUCUGAUUUGUUACAAGACAUACAUUCUAUCAAGCAAGGAGAAAGAGGGGUGAGUCAGUUUUUCACAGAUUUAAAGAUCCUGUGGGAAGAACUGGAAUCCUUAAGACUUGUACCUAGUUACACAUGUGAGAUGCCUUGCAACUGUGACCUAUCAAAAAUUACCUUGAAAUACAGAGAAGUCAAACAUGUGAUAUGCUUUCUGAAAGGGUUAAACGACUCCUACAACACCGUCAAAACUCAAAUACUUCUAAUGGAUCCUCUCCCUAAUAUCAAUCGUGUUUUCUCUCUUAUCAUGCAACAAGAGAGACAAGAAAAGUAAGGUCCUACAGAGACCAAAAUUCUGGAAAAUAUUGUUGACAGAGGCUGCCAAUGGAAACCUUAUCAAAAUUGGAGAAACCAAGGAUGGGGCACUGGAACUCGUGGUCAAGGAAGAGGAAGGGGAGGAACCCUAACUAUGGAAAACAGUGCUCUUACUGUAAUAAGAUGAAUCACACAGUGGAUGAGUGUUAUUCCAAGCACGGUUACCCACCUUGGUACAACAAAGAAGACAAAAGGAAUGAUUGGAACUCUGCCAAUACUUGCCAGAAUAACACAGAAUCUGAAGGUGUUCAAAAGAUUCAACCUGUUAAUAACAGCAACAUUUUCAACUCCUUCACACCAGAACAGAUGUAGAAACUCCUCAAAAUGCUUGACAAGACUGUGGAACCCAUUCACAAGAUCAAUCAAAUUCAGAGAAAUGAAACUGAAAACAAGCAAGGUAAUCUUUCCUGGAUCAUUGACAUCGGGGCUACAGAUCAUGUUACACAUGACAAAACUAAUUUUGUUACUUUCUAUAAAAUAAAACCUAUUUCAGUCAAACUACCAAACAACACUGCAUUCACUACAGAACACACAAGAACAGUGCAAUUUUCUGAAAAUUUUGUUAUUUUCAAUGUUCUCUACAUCCCUGAUUUUUGUUUCAAUUUGAUCUAUGUUCAAUGCCUUACCAAAGAUUUGGAUUGCAGUCUAAUCUUUUCCUCUAAGAAUUGCCAGAUAAGGGAGAAUUGUACAUUGAAGAUGAUUGGAUGUUCUAACUCUUGGAAAGGGCUCUAUUACCUACAAGAUUUUCCUAAACUUGAUCAAAGAUAUAUUUCAAAGGUUGCUUUCUCUUUUAAGAGUGUUGAUGUGAAUUUGUGGCAUCAUAGAUUAGGUCAUUCAGGGAACGAAGUUGUAAAACAGAUAUAUGAAAAAUUUCCUUAUGUUAAAAUAGGUGUUGACACUAUUUGUGAUACUUGUCAUUAUGCCAAACAGCCAAAAAGUAUUUUUGUUACCUCUGAAUGUUUUGAGAUUGUUCAUUGUGAUAUAUGGGAUCCUCUUAACACUAUCUCUAUUCAUGGGCAUAAGUAUUUUCUUACCAUAGUAGAUGACUAUAGUAGACACACAUGAGUUUUCUUAAUGAAUAAUAAAGGACAGACAAGAGAAUUGUUGCAAAAUUUUAUCAUUAAGGUUAAAAACCAGUUCAAUAAAAUGGUUAAGAUCAUUAGAUCCGACAAUGGACCUGAAUUCAACUGUGUGAGUUUUUAUGAUAUGCAUGGCAUCAAUCAUCAAAAGAGUUGUACUGAAACUCCAGAACAAAAUUCUAUUGUUGAAAGAAAACACCAACAUAUUCUAAAUGUAACUCAUAGUCUUCUUUUUCAAUCUAACAUCCCUAAUGCUUAUUGGUCAUAUGCUAUUGGACAUGUUGUUUACUUGAUAAAUAGGUUUCCUUCUCCUAUCCUUCAUAAUAAAACUCCUCAUGAUAUGCUUUAUAAUCUUCCUCCCACUUAUCUUGAUCUUAAAACUUUUGGAUGUUUGUGUUUUGCUUCUACUCUUGAGAAUAAUAGAAAUAAAUUGGAUCCUAGAGUUAGAAAAGGAGUGUUUCUAGGGUAUAAGAGUGGUGUUAAAGGUUACAUUGUUUUGGAUAUAAACACCAAAGAGCUUCUCAUAAGCAGAAAUGUUAUAUUUCAUGAGGACAUUUUUCCUUACAAAAAUCUGCGAGGCAACAAAGAAAAGGAUGACACAGAAGAAGACAAAGUUGAAUCCCUCAAUGACCUUCAAAAGGAUCAUAAUUUUACUGACAAUGACAGAAAUGACCAGCUGGAUGCUUCUGAUCAAGAAAAGGAGCAGCAAAUUUUAGAUGACAGAAACAACAACAACAACAUAGAAGAAAAUCAAGAAUGCCAUGGGCACAGGAGGUCAAACAGGCUUAGAAAGACUCCUGAGUAUCUAAAAGACUAUGUACAUCAGGUUAAUCAAUCCUUAUCUGUGAAAAAUAAUUUUAAAACCCCAUAUCCGAUUUCUGAUCAGUUAUGUUGUGAUAAUCUGUCAGAGAAGCGCCUAAAGUACACCAUGGUUGUCACUGCUAGUAAGGAACCUCAAUCUUACAAUGAGGCAAAAGGCAUGAAUGAGUGGGUUGAUGCUAUGCAAAAAGAAAUUAAAGCUUUGCAAGACAAUGACACUUGGAUUUUAACUCAGUUGCCCCCUGGAAAAAACCCCAUAGGGUGUAAAUGGGUGUAUAAAACCAAGUAUAGGGCUGAUGGCAGCAUUAAAAGGCACAAAGCUAGACUGGUGGCAAAAGGUUACACUCAGCAGGAAGGAAUAGAUUACCUCGACACUUUUUCCCCUGUGGUCAAGCUUACUACUGUCAGACUUCUUAUCGCCCUUGCAGCAUCAAACAACUGGUUUCUACAUCAACUUGAUGUUGAUAAUGCAUUUCUACAUGGGGAGCUUAAUGAAGAAGUUUAUAUGCAACCACCCCUAGGUCUGAUUGUCUACAAAGAAGGACAGGUUUGCAAGCUAACCAAGUCCAUAUAUGGUUUAAAACAAGUCAGUAGGAAAUGGUUUGAGAAACUAUCCUCUUAUCUAAUUUCUGUUAAGUACAAUCAGUCUAAAUCUGACCACUCAUUGUUCAUUAAAAGAACAGCCACAAGCUUUACUGCUUUAUUAGUAUAUGUGGAUGAUAUUAUGUUGGCAGGAAACUCUAUGGAGGAAAUUGACUGCAUAAAAGGACUUUUACACAAGAAGUUUCAGAUUAAGAAUCUUGGAGAGCUCAAGUACUUUUUAGGGUUGGAAGUUGCCAGGUCCAAAAAGGGUAUCCAUUUAUGUCAAAGGAAGUAUGCUUUGGACAUACUUGAGGAAACAGGAAUGCAGGGGUGCAAGCCUUCUUCCACCCCUUUCUGAAGAGACACCGGCCCAUUGUACAGGACGGACAGCUACCUGGAUGACCCAGGUCCAUACAGAAGACUGAUAGGGAAGUUGUUAUACCUCACUAAUACUAGACCUGACUUAUGUUUUUCAAUUAACCUUCUUAGCCAAUUCAUGCAAUCACCUACUAAUCAUCAUUAUCAGGCUAUCCAACAUAUGCUAAGGUAUAUUAAAUCUACACCAUCUGAGGGAUUAUUUUUUGCUGCAGAUUCUGCUAUGCAUUUAGAGGCCUUUAAUGACUCUGACUGGGCUACAUGUCCCGCCACAAGAAGCAGGGAAUUGUUUCCAGAUCCUCUAUUGAAGCUAAUUAGCGGGAACUUGCAGCCACUGUAUGUGAAAUACAGUGGCUCCGUUAUCUUCUACAAGACCUUCAAAUUGAAGAAUCUGGGAUACUUGUCCUCUAUUGUGACAACAAGUCAGCACGACAUAUCGCUCAUAAUCAGAGCUUC